CACAUAUCAAAUACAAGGGUGAACCUAACUUAAACCCUUUGCCCAAAUACCAAAACACAUGGUCCCGCGGACCAUCGGGAUUGCUUCAACAGGAUAGACCAAGGAAAGUUCGUACUUUUUCAACCAAAACCAUGUGUUUUGGUACUCAAGAUUUACAACUAUUCACACACUUAGAAGAUCAUUUUCGCUUUGUUGGUAGGGACAGACUUGACCACAUCCAAAAUUAUCUUAUUGACAAUAUUUGGCAUAUCCCUACACUUCCAGAAAGCUCUGGACAUAAAAUUGCAGUGAUAAACAUUCUUUCCAACUAUUUUCUUACUACUAUCCAAAACCCAGCAAGAAAGAAAUUUUCCUGUUACAUGGUCUUUUCAAGACCUCAGGCAGAGGUAUACUCUACAUGGGAAGAAACCAACUUAGCCAUUCAAAACCUAGAAUAUCUAUAUUUUAAGGGUUAUUAUUCACUUGAAGAGACUUUUACAGCAGCCAGAGCCCAUCUAGGGCCACAUUUCUUUGUUAGUACAACUCUGCAAACAUCACCAAUACAAGCUACUACCCCUGAUACAAAUACUUUUACUUAUGCUCAAGUUGUACAAUAUACUCCUGAGAAUAGCCUGGCAGAGACUUCAACAGAACACACCAUUACUCCUAUCAGACCAGAGUACCUAACUUUGGCUCAACUUAAAGAAUAAAAUAAGACUACAUCUUUACAAAGAGUAUCUGAGAUGCGCCUGGUAGACUUCCCAAAUACUAUUCCUGAGGACAUUCAUACUUAUGUUCGCAGUCUGGCUGAAAAAUCUACUUUACAAGCGUUUAUCGAAUUAUGUGAAGCCCUAAAAGCUUUUCACAAAACACCUCCUGAAGGAAUGACUAUUGUAUAUGAAGCUGAGUUCAGCCCAAAGCUUAAAUGCCAAAAGAAAGGACCAUCAUGUAUAGAAUCAGAUAAAUAUGGAUGGCAAUGUCAGCUUCUCUAUGCUUCCAGAAGAGUUAACACGGAUUAUGAAUCCUACAUUACUACGGCUUACAAAGGGAGACAAAUUACCGCUUUUACUCUUCUUGACUAUGGCCUCUUACAUAAAUUAUGGGUUCAUGACCCAGAUUCAGUUAAAGAUUUCCCAAAGAAACUGGGUACUGUUAUUUCUACUGCUUUAGAAGAAGAAGAAAUGUUUGUAGUAUGCACAUUUGACAGUACUCCUCAAAAAUGGUUGGACCUCAAAAUCGAGUCAGCCCGACAUUUAGUUAAAAUUGACGUAAAUGAAGUUGGUGGUUACCAAGCCGAGCUACAAGACUAUCCUACAGACCCAGACUGUGAUUGGGAAACUCCUCCCUCCUUUUCCGACCAACUCAAACACUGGAGAGCUUCAGUCCAAGGGAUGCAUUGGGAUUGGGACCGACUUGAAGAUCCUGAUACUUAUCUCCUGGUUGGAGAAUCAUUUACUGAAAAAAUUUAUUGGCCAAAAGAUAUGAGUACCAGGUUUUUCUCUUUUCACUUUACUACACAACAUACUACUCUGUUUCAACAUUACCAGAAGAAGACAAAGAGAAUGAGUAAUAAGAGGUUAGCAAGUUCCGUCCUUUCAACUAGAGUCUAUCGAGCUGGAUUAGCCAGACACAGAGCACCAAUCCAAGCUUCCAGCUCACAAGCACCAUCUUUGGACUCAACCGGAGAAGACAACAUUGAUAAUAUGAUGGACAGCUAAGAAUGACAACAACCGUACUCAACAGUGCCACCACUACUACAACAACAGAACUUAACAAUGUCACCACUACUCACUAGCGCCAUCACGACUCACCAGUGCCACCGCUAAAACUAAUACUACUUUCCACUGUCUUUUUUGCAGAUGUCUUCCUUUAACCCUAAACAACACUUUCAUUCCACCUGUCCUACUUUCUAAAGAUGUUUUUCUUCACUCCCAAGUAAAUAUUUCCUUCCUCCCAAAGGCACCUCUCCUCUCUCAUCUUCCUCUUCCUCUUCCUCCCAAGGCAUCCCCUACACGCAACUUUCUCUUUGCCUCCUCACAGUCUCUCAACCUCCCUCUCCAGCUCUCUCUCAAAGUUCUUCAUUUCUUUAUGUAAAUAUGUAAAAUAUUUAAUAUGUAAUGUCUUUUAGGAUAUAUAUAUAUAUAUAUAUAUUCUAUCUUACCCAUAAAGGACUAUUAUAUUGAAUAAGUGCUAGUGCUACAAUUUAUAGCAAUUUUAUUAACUAGUGUAGCCACGAGUCGUUUGCUUGCUGCAGGAAUCGAGGCGGCGGAGAUAUUAUGGAGACUGAGAGUGUCGGCUCCGUCGCCGGAGUUCAGCGGCCGAGAUCGACGCUACGGCGAAAUGCAUUAGGAGAAGAAUUAACUCUGCGCGAUGCCUUCCCCGUCAACGCACCUCCUCUGGAUCGCACCGCCUGCAAGAAAAAGGGGCAUUUGUCGCCGGACUUCCCCAAAAACGACAAGGCCGGACCGGGGACGCCGGAUCAACGAGGGUCAUUGGAAAGGCAGUGCCCCUGCGGGCGAGGGCCGUGCGUCGUGCGGACGUCGAAGACGGAGAAGAACCCCGGGAGGCCCUUCUACGCCUGCCCCGGUAAGUUUGAGGCAAGCUGCCGUUAUUUCUCAUGGUGUGACAAAGCGGAUCAGCCCUUCAGAUUUGGUAUUCCUUUGGAACUUAAUCAGCAGAAUGCACUCAACAGCCCACUAAAGCAACAUGGUGGUUACAAAAGUCCGACCAAGCCUUACGGCCAAAUUGACACUCCAGAACCUCCAUCAUGCGCUUGUGGUGCUGGGAAAUGUCGGUAUCUGAAAAUGGAAAAUGGAAUCAAUGCAGGUCUCAGAUACUUCGGCUGUACGAUAAAAAAGACUAAACAAAAAGUCUGGUUUAUAUUUACCAGGGUCAAGGAGCAUGCAAUUUUAUACAAUGGAUUGAUACUCCAAAUCCUGUUACACCAUCUGCAAAAGAUAUCCAUCUAGAAAAGAAUACAAAGUCAGUGCCUGAGAAGCCAACAACUUGUCAAAUUGGUCAGAACAUGCGGCAAAACCUUUUGUCUCCAAACAAGGUGCAGAAUCUAAGAAUCGGGGCAGCAGGAACAAAUGGCCGCGAAUUGGAGCCCAUGCCAAUUGAUGUUCCAGAUGACACAGAAACACCAGUUUCACCAAAAAGGCUACCUGGUGAGCUAGGGUUAUGUUCUCCUGUUAAAAGGCUUAAUUUGCAGCAAGGAGUUGCAAGCACAUCUAAGUCAGGAAGAUGCUUCCGUUGCGGCAAAGAAGGGCACUGGGCAAAGGAGUGUGUUCAGCCUCGUAGUCCUUGCUUCUAGGUUCAAAUGAGGAAAGCUCGAUCCCUACGAGGGACUGCUCUACCUAACUUCAGUUGUCGGCCCAUCAUAUGUUUAAUACACUUACGAUCUCUUUGGAAUUAUGGCCGUGAGUUUCUAUAUAUUUAUGUAGAAAGUGCCCAAGUAGCUAUCUUUCUUAAUGUACUCUCUUUGUUAGAAUGUUGUGGCAUCUUAAUGUAUUUAUGGUGAAUGGUAUCACUAUGUUGCAUCUAGCUUUUCAGUUCAAUGUCUUUUGUUUGAUAGAGA